UGGGGAAUAUUGCACAAUGGGCGCAAGCCUGAUGCAGCCAUGCCGCGUGUAUGAAGAAGGCCUUCGGGUUGUAAAGUACUUUCAGCGGGGAGGAAGGUGUUGAGGUUAAUAACCUCAGCAAUUGACGUUACCCGCAGAAGAAGCACCGGCUAACUCCGUGCCAGCAGCCGCGGUAAUACGGAGGGUGCAAGCGUUAAUCGGAAUUACUGGGCGUAAAGCGCACGCAGGCGGCCUGUCAAAUCGGAUGUGAAAUCCCCGGGCUCAACCUGGGAACUGCAUUCGAAACUGGCAGGCUAGAGUCUUGUAGAGGGGGGUAGAAUUCCAGGUGUAGCGGUGAAAUGCGUAGAGAUCUGGAGGAAUACCGGUGGCGAAGGCGGCCCCCUGGACAAAGACUGACGCUCAGGUACGAAAGCGUGGGGAGCAAACA
rnacentral:rRNA from 1 species